UACGAAGGGAGCGAGCGUUGUUCGGAAUUACUGGGCGUAAAGCGCGUGUAGGCGGCCAUCUAAGUCGGGCGUGAAAUCCCACGGCUCAACCGUGGAAGUGCACUCGAAACUGGAUGGCUAGAGUCCUGGAGAGGAAGGUGGAAUGCUUGGUGUAGAGGUGAAAUUCGUAGAUAUCAAGCGGAACACCGGUGGCGAAGGCGGCCUUCUGGACAGUGACUGACGCUGAGACGCGAAAGCGUGGGGAGCAAACAGGG
rnacentral:rRNA from 1 species